UGAAGAUCAGCUGGACUAAUAUGACUCCUCACAGCUGUCUUCUGACUGAAGGUCAGCUGGACUAAUAGGACUCCUCACAGCUGUCUUCUGACUGAAGGUCAGCUGGACUAAUAGGACUCCUCACAGCUGUCUUCUGACUGAAGGUCAGCUUGACUAAUAGGACUCCUCACAGCUGUCUUCUGACUGAAGAUCAGCUGGACUAAUAGGACUCCUCACAGCUGUCUUCUAACUGAAAAUCAGCUGGACUAAUAGGACUCCUCACAGCUGUCUUCUGACUGAAGUUCAGCUGGACUAUUAGGCUACAUCAAGGUAAAUAGUUAGAACAUUUAGGAACUGAGUUUGCCAAACAAACACCCAACCUGAAACAAGGUCAUUAGGGCUCAGCAAAGGGUCCGCAGCUUAAUUGACUAUGACUGUGAUUCAAACAAACUGCAGUAUGGCGACAUGGCAAUGCAUUCGACUUAAUUUAUGUUUGUGUUGAUAUUCACAAGGUUUAGCGGAUAUGUGAUUGCUGGGAACCUCAGGGAAAUUGCAGCGAGAUGUCAGAGCAGUAUGGUUUUGUAUCAAUCCAGGGCUAUGAGAGUAUUUAACUACUGUGAAUAAAGGCCUAGAUACUGACUGUAUAAGGACGUGUACUGAACUUCAAACACAGUGCCAUUUAAUAGAUGUAGAAAUACACCCAUUAGGAAGCUGUGGUGGUGCUGUCUGUCGCUGGACAUGUUAUCCACCAGGAUAUGUGACUGUGGGGUAAUUGAAAGCCAUGUAUCAGACAGCCAGCAGGUCAGUGACGGGGCCACAGACUCUGGUAUGGCUCCUCUCCUCAGCUCUGUGUGGGGCUGGAUGAAUGACCAGACCAUCUGACUCUCACUGCUCUCUAGCCAUGACCCACAGCAGCCAUGUGUGUAAAAUGACUGAGCUCAAAUAGCAAUAUUGAGAAAGUGUGUGUGUGUGUGUGUGUGUGUGUGUGUGUGUGUGUGUGUGUGUGUGUGUGUGUGGAAGAGAGAAAAUAGCAGGAGUGUGUAGGCUUCUGUUUGUGUCUCUUCCUCUAUGUGUAUUGUCAUCUACAGAGUCAGAUCACCUGUUACUGUCAGGGCCCUCCACACAGACACACAGACAGGCAGGGAAUCACCAUGUCUACAGAGUCAGAUCACCUGUUACUGUCAGGGCCCUCCACACAGACACACAGACAGGCAGGGAAUCACCAUGUCUACAGAGUCAGAUCACCUGUUACUGUCAGGGCCCUCCACACAGACACACAGACAUGCAGGGAAUCACCAUGUCUACAGAGUCAGAUCACCUGUUACUGUCAGGGCCCUCCACACAGACACACAGACAGGCAGGGAAUCACCAUGUCUACAGAGUCAGAUCACCUGUUACUGUCAGGGCCCUCCACACAGACACACAGACAGGCAGGGAAUCACCAUGUCUACAGAGUCAGAUCACCUGUUACUGUCAGGGCCCUCCACACAGACACACAGACAGGCAGGGAAUCACCAUGUCUACAGAGUCAGAUCACCUGUUACUGUCAGGGCCCUCCACACAGACACACAGACAGGCAGGGAAUCACCAUGUCUACAGAGUCAGAUCACCUGUUACUGUCAGGGCCCUCCACACAGACACACAGACAGGCAGGGAAUCACCAUGUCUACAGAGUCAGAUCACCUGUUACUGUCAGGGCCCUCCACACAGACACACAGACAGGUAGGGAAUCACCAUGUCUACAGAGUCAGAUCACCUGUUACUGUCAGGGCCCUCCACACAGACACACAGACAGGCAGGGAAUCACCAUGUCUACAGAGUCAGAUCACCUGUUACUGUCAGGGCCCUCCACACAGACACACAGACAGGCAGGGAAUCACCAUGUCUACAGAGUCAGAUCACCUGUUACUGUCAGGGCCCUCCACACAGACACACAGACAGGCAGGGAAUCACCAUGUCUACAGAGUCAGAUCACCUGUUACUGUCAGGGCCCUCCACACAGACACACAGACAGGCAGGGAAUCACCAUGUCUACAGAGUCAGAUCACCUGUUACUGUCAGGGCCCUCCACACAGACACACAGACAGGCAGGGAAUCACCAUGUCUACAGAGUCAGAUCAUCUGUUACUGUCAGGGCCCUCCACACAGACACACAGACAGGCAGGGAAUCACCAUGUCUACAGAGUCAGAUCACCUGUUCCUGUCAGGGCCCUCCACACAGACACACAGACAGGCAGGGAAUCACCAUGUCUACAGAGUCAGAUCACCUGUUACUGUCAGGGCCCUCCACACAGACACACAGACAGGCAGGGAAUCACCAUGUCUACAGAGUCAGAUCACCUGUUACUGUCAGGGCCCUCCACACAGACACACAGACAGGCAGGGAAUCACCAUGUCUACAGAGUCAGAUCACCUGUUACUGUCAGGGCCCUCCACACAGACACACAGACAGGCAGGGAAUCACCAUGUCUACAGAGUCAGAUCACCUGUUACUGUCAGGGCCCUCCACACAGACACACAGACAGGCAGGGAAUCACCAUGUCUACAGAGUCAGAUCACCUGUUACUGUCAGGGCCCUCCACACAGACACACAGACAGGCAGGGAAUCACCAUGUCUACAGAGUCAGAUCACCUGUUACUGUCAGGGCCCUCCACACAGACACACAGACAGGCAGGGAAUCACCAUGUCUACAGAGUCAGAUCACCUGUUCCUGUCAGGGCCCUCCACACAGACACACAGACAGGCAGGGAAUCACCAUGUCUACAGAGUCAGAUCACCUGUUACUGUCAGGGCCCUCCACACAGACACACAGACAGGCAGGGAAUCACCAUGUCUACAGAGUCAGAUCACCUGUUACUGUCAGGGCCCUCCACACAGACACACAGACAGGCAGGGAAUCACCAUGUCUACAGAGUCAGAUCACCUGUUACUGUCAGGGCCCUCCACACAGACACACAGACAGGCAGGGAAUCACCAUGUCUACAGAGUCAGAUCACCUGUUACUGUCAGGGCCCUCCACACAGACACACAGACAGGCAGGGAAUCACCAUGUCUACAGAGUCAGAUCACCUGUUACUGUCAGGGCCCUCCACACAGACACACAGACAGGCAGGGAAUCACCAUGUCUACAGAGUCAGAUCACCUGUUCCUGUCAGGGCCCUCCACACAGACACACAGACAGGCAGGGAAUCACCAUGUCUACAGAGUCAGAUCACCUGUUACUGUCAGGGCCCUCCACACAGACACACAGACAGGCAGGGAAUCACCAUGUCUACAGAGUCAGAUCACCUGUUACUGUCAGGGCCCUCCACACAGACACACAGACAGGCAGGGAAUCACCAUGUCUACAGAGUCAGAUCACCUGUUACUGUCAGGGCCCUCCACACAGACACACAGACAGGCAGGGAAUCACCAUGUCUACAGAGUCAGAUCACCUGUUACUGUCAGGGCCCUCCACACAGACACACAGACAGGCAGGGAAUCACCAUGUCUACAGAGUCAGAUCACCUGUUACUGUCAGGGCCCUCCACACAGACACACAGACAGGCAGGGAAUCCCCAUGUCUACAGAGUCAGAUCACCUGUUACUGUCAGGGCCCUCCACACAGACACACAGACAGGCAGGGAAUCACCAUGUCUACAGAGUCAGAUCACCUGUUACUGUCAGGGCCCUCCACACAGGCACACAGACAGGCAGGGAAUCACCAUGUCCUCCUACUCACUGCACUUCAACACGCCGCUGAUUAAUCCUGAUUUAUCACACGCCUCUUUUCUGCCCCCUCAGCCAAUCAGAGCUCCU
rnacentral:lncRNA from 1 species